CAGGGAUUAUCAUCUCCGUGCUCGUCGUUGGAGCAGUAGUAGCAUUCUUCCUCGUCAAGAGGAGAUCCAAGAGAUCAUCUACAGAUAUUGAAAAGCUCGACAAUCAACCCCUGCAACCUCUUAAAGUGACUGCAGCACAAGAAACAAAGUCAGAAGAGACUUCCUCCACAUUUUAUCCAACAUCAUUUGACACUUCUGCUGCAAUAAAUCUUAAACCCCCACCUAUCGAUCGUCAUAAAUCAUUUGAUGAAGACGACUUCUCAAAACGAGCUGCAGUCAAG
rnacentral:misc_RNA from 1 species